GAUGGGCUAAGAAAUGUACAAGGAAUCCCCAAUGGCUCACAACAACCUCAAUUUCCACAGCCUUAGGAAUGAAUCUCUGCAGUUUCCUCUACAAUAUUCUUGAUUGAUAAACCGAAGCUUCUUCCAAAGAUUAGGUCAAAGCGAGAGCAGGAGGAUUGCCUGGAGGGCAUCUUUGCCGGCGGGGACGUCUAGUCGUCUUCCCCCACCCUGUUAGGCUUCUAUCCUCUAGUCCCAUUUCAACAUUAUUAAGCUGCUGUAAUAGGGGAGUACAAGGCGGGCUUGCCAUUACAGCAGGAGGGGAACUAACCAGUGCACGCCUCCUCCCCCUCCCACAACCACUUCUACUAGAAUUCCUUCUCGUUAAUCCUGAAUGCCAGAGAUGGCCAGUUGCUCUCAUCAGCCCUCCAAAUGUCUGAAGAUCUUCUGUUACUUCAUGCCUUGACAAAGAAGCAAGGCCUGGAAGAAUGUCCCUUUGGAAGUCCCUCCGCGGCCUUCCUCUUCUUGAUUGGCCUUUUCGGGUUCGAGUUGGUACUGAAGUUGUUCCUGUUUCUUCCAGUUUCAGGUUUUCUGGAACCAAUGGCUUGGGCAUGUAAUCUUCCUCCUUGGUCUCUGUCAACUUCAAGGUCAUAGACUCAAAGUAAUCUUCCAAAUAUGACCCCUCUUUAUCUUGGCCAUUACCCUCAGCUUCCAAAACAACAAAUUUGCUCUCUAGAUCCUCUCCAAAAAAGGAAACUAUCUCCACAAACCAAUGAAGAGAAUCUUUCAUAGAAGCUUCUGAUGCAUUGUAAGUGGCAUCAUCCUGACGGUUAUGACCUGUUGAAGAGAUGGCGACUAUUACCUCUGCUGCUAUUCUGACAAAUUCAUCUGGUGCACUUUCCGCUUUGUGCUGUGAUAAUUGUGAUGAUGCUUCAUAAGCCUUUUCCAGGCAUUCUUCUCCAGGAACGAUAUCCUCUUCAGUCUCUGGAAAUACAGGGGCUUCUAAAUCUAUUCCUGAAAUAAUCUUCACAUUAAAGCCUGGGACAGAAGGCAUCAAAGAAGAUUCAUCCUCAGUUAUACAUGAAUUCAAAUCAAUCUCAUAUCUGACAUUGGCGACCUGUGUAUCUUUUUCUUUUUCCAUAAGCACAUCUUCUGUUGCAGUCUGUUGAACACAGUCAGGAACAGCUGGAUGACAAGGUAAGUUAAUAUCAAGUGCCCUACUUUUCCUCUUAUUUUUGACUUCUGCAGAUGGCUGAGGAAGUGACACAGAAGGGGAGGGAAAAGAAGAAGACUCGAUCUUUGAAACAUGUGGCUUUUCAAAGAUGGGAAAGCCAAGAAUUCUUCUGCGGCUUGAGGAGUCACUUGUUUCAAUCCUACUGGCUCCAACGACAUUGGAACAAGAAGCUGAUUUCACAUUGUGAACAACUGUUUGAUUAGGAACCUUUCCAGCUUCACUCUUAUCAGAC
rnacentral:misc_RNA from 1 species